UUGAGACCUUGAAAGGGAGCAAACCCCAAGGCUCAAGUCAAUUGCCAGCAGGCCAACCCCUGAGGGUUACAGUUGAAGAACUUUGGACUCCACAAGGGUGGAAUAUUGUAUUCAGAAGGCUCCUUAAUGAUUGGGAGAUCCCAAGAGUUACUGAUCUCUUUGGUAAACUCUUGAAGGUUUCUCAGGCCUAAAGGAGAAGAAGGAUUCUCAUACUUGGAUAGGCGGCACCAUGGCUGUUUUCUCUGUCAAAACAGCUUACAACUACUUAAUGGAUUUGGAGCAGUUCAAUGACCCAUGGCCAUGGAAAGAGAUAUGGAAAGCAAGAGCUCCUUUCAAAGUGGUUUUGCUUACUUGGCUAGUUGUUUGGAAAGCCAGUCUCACUCAUGAUAAACUUCAAAGAAGGGGUUUUCAUCUAUGUUCUAGGUGUUUUCUAUGCCAUCAGGAAGCCGAAGCCAAUGGGCAUCUUUUCUUGCAUUGUUCAAUUACCAGACAACUAUGACAACUUUUUGCAGCAUUAGCUCAAAUUGUUUGGGUGAUACCCCAGAGUACAUUUGACCGGAUAUGUAGUUGGAACAAUAUACAAGGGGAAACUUGUCACAGAGAGUGGUGGAAGAUUGUUCCAGCUUGCAUAUGGUGGACAAUUUGGAAAGAGAGGAAUGCAAGAUGUUUUGAAGGCAGUGGACACCGCCCAAUUUAAGUGUACCUAUAUUAAAUUUGGUGGACAAGACUUUUCAGCUGAACAGAAGAGGCUGGCUAAGAAUACAGGUAUAUUGGAUGUCAAAGGAAAUUAUGCAGUUAAUGAUGGAGGAAGCUAUUGAUGAUUGGCUGUUAAGGCAAAUGCAUUGGUUACGGAGAGAGGAUGUGAUUGCUCAGGGAAUUAAAUGGAUUCAAGAUAUACACAAGGAAAUCAUUCACUGUUCAGCUAUGGGAGAAUCUGUAAAGCGUGGAUGGUAUGAUCAUCAUAAAAGAGGACAACCGAGUUGGAGGUUUAAAUUGGCUGUGGAGGAGGAAGAAAAAAAUGAACAUAAAAAAUGACAUCUUUGUAUAUCUGAACAUGAUCUCGUAGUCAUAUAAAUGUCAUGAAAAGCUUAAGACUGCAAGUUCUGAAGGGUUUUAAAAAGGUUUGGUUGUUUGGUUCGCUGACAAAACGAGCCUAAGGGAAAUUUUGGGGACUGAAGUCUAGUUUAUUUACAUUCGAAUGUCAAACCAUUAUCUGGUCUACUUCUGUAACAAAUGCUAUGUUUGGUUGGAAAACUUGGAAUGACCAUGACUUCACUUGCAAAACACUGAAUUGUUUAUGUUUUUCUCUGUUCAUCCUAUAUAUGUGAAUUAAAUUUAGCUUUAAAGAUUUGGUGUUAAAGACAAGGGAAACUGCUAUUGUGAUGUGGAAAAAGCCUUACUGAAGAUAGCUAAAAGAGCAGUCUUUGUCAAGAGAUUUCAUCCUACAGUCACUAGUGAACUGAGAAUCCCAGCAGAUUGCUUUGGCAAAUAUCAGAAGAAUUACCUGAUAAAGCCACUCUAAGGUGUCUUUCUGGAGGCACUUGGAAUGUGAAACUACAAUGUGAUGGAAGAGGGCUUUCUUAUACACAAUGGUUGGAAGAAAUUUCAGAAAAAUAACCAAGUACAAAAUGGGGAAUAUCUCGUGUUUAGGUACGAUGGCGCUCUGCAAUUCACAAUAAGAAUUUUCAGCAAGAAUGGACUUGGAAAGACAAGUGAAGUCAACAAACAAGGUCAAAAAUCAACAAGCUCCAAUAUAUGGAGGCAGCAAGCGUAAAAGGCCAGAAAAAUACCCUUACACUUCAAAAUUCCCUAAACAGACUCGUGCUAGCGGUGAAAAUGACACAGAAGACCUAUUUUAACAUGUGAUGGACUAAUAGACUACUAUGUUGUGUUCCCUUAGAACAUGCAACACCAAGAAAAAGAGUUGCACUUGAGAAAGAAGACGACCUUCUCACGGAUCUCACUCCAAAUAUUCCUCAAUUUGUGAAAUGCUUGAAAGGCUAUAAUGUGAAAAAGUCCUGCUUCCUGGGACGGAGCCACCAUUCGAGAUACGGAUUUUGCAACCAUUACACUUUUGGGUUCAGAUGAAACCGUAGAUUAUAUGGUACAUCCACCACCGACUAUAAGACAAUUUAAAUACAUUUAUUGGUAUUUGCACCAGAUAACUCUAGGUGAAUCUGUUCUCUGGAAAAGUUUUCUAGACAUUUUGUGCAUCCUAUUCAAAUAUAAUCAACAUUACUACAUCUCUAAUUGUAAGCUGUAGGCAAGUAUUGUAAGCUUCAUUUCAGCUGUAACAUACAGAAGUUAAACAACUCUAAUUACUUAGAUACAGAAAAUGAAAACAAGGUUGUCCAUUAAGCAGCUACAGAGUUCAAAUUCCAAAAUAAUAUCAAAUUGUAGCAGUUCAAAGCUAA